GGACGAACGCUGGCGGCGUGCUUAACACAUGCAAGUCGAACGGAGAAUUUAUUUCGGUAAAUUCUUAGUGGCGAACGGGUGAGUAACGCGUAGGCAACCUGCCCUUUGGAUGGGGACAACAUUCCGAAAGGAGUGCUAAUACCGAAUGUGAUCCAUUUCUCGCAUGAGAGAUGGAUGAAAGAUGGCCUCUAUUUAUAAGCUAUCGCCAAAGGAUGGGCCUGCGUCUGAUUAGUUAGUUGGUGGGGUAACGGCUCACCAAGACGAUGAUCAGUAGCCGGUCUGAGAGGAUGAACGGCCACAUUGGGACUGAGACACGGCCCAAACUCCUACGGGAGGCAGCAGUGGGGAAUCUUCCGCAAUGGACGAAAGUCUGACGGAGCAACGCCGCGUGAGUGAUGAAGGUUUUCGGACUGUAAAACUCUGUUGUCAGGGACGAAGGUGCGAUCUGCGAAUAGUUGAUCGUAUUGACGGUACCUGACGAGGAAGCCACGGCUAACUACGUGCCAGCAGCCGCGGUAAUACGUAGGUGGCAAGCGUUGUCCGGAAUUAUUGGGCGUAAAGAGCAUGUAGGUGGGCUUUUAAGUCCGAUGUGAAAUGCGGGGCUCCACCCCGUAUGGCAUUGGAAACUGGAAGUCUUGA
rnacentral:rRNA from 1 species